rnacentral:rRNA from 1 species
UACGUAGGGUCCGAGCGUUGUCCGGAAUUACUGGGCGUAAAGAGCUCGUAGGUGGUUUGUCGCGUUGUCCGUGAAAACUCACAGCUUAACUGUGGGCGUGCGGGCGAUACGGGCAGGCUAGAGUUCGGUAGGGGGAGACUGGAAUUCCUGGUGUAGCGGUGGAAUGCGCAGAUAUCAGGAGGAACACCGAUGGCGAAGGCAGGUCUCUGGGCCGCAACUGACGCUGAGGAGCGAAAGCAUGGGGAGCGAACAGG